UACGUAGGGUGCAAGCGUUGUCCGGAAUUAUUGGGCGUAAAGAGCUCGUAGGCGGUUUGACACGUCGGAUGUGAAAACCCGAGGCUUAACCUCGGGCCUGCAGUCGAUACGGGCUGACUAGAGUUCGGUAGGGGAGACUGGAAUUCCUGGUGUAGCGGUGAAAUGCGCAGAUAUCAGGAGGAACACCGGUGGCGAAGGCGGGUCUCUGGGCCGAUACUGACGCUGAGGAGCGAAAGCGUGGGGAGCGAACAGG
rnacentral:rRNA from 1 species